rnacentral:rRNA from 1 species
CUGAACGGCCUCUAAGUCAGAAUCCGUGCCAGAAAGCGACGACGCCUCCCGCACGUAUAGAUGGACACGAAUAGGCCUCUGGCUUAGCGUCUUAGCAGGCAAAGAACGCCAACGCUCUGGAAACGGGUGUUGGUACUUUGCGAAUUGUAAUUUCAGCACGAGCGGGGUCGAAUCCCUUGCAGACGACUUUGAUGUGCGAAAGGGUCCUGUAAGCAGUAGAGUAGCCUUGUUGUUACGAUCUGCUGAGGGUAAGCCCUACUUCGCCUCGAUUU